rnacentral:misc_RNA from 1 species
GUUUGGUGGAGCCUCAGAGGUACAGCUCAGCUGUGUUGCAAUCCUAUCCAUAGAGCAGCGGCAGCGGCCCAGUGUGGAAAUCAACACGGCAGAGUGCAGGGCACCGAUCGGGGCAGCUAUUACCUGUUGGUGAGGAAGCGCGGGAGCUCGAAGCGUGUGGUAACGGCCAUGAGCCCGUUCCCGGAUGGGUCGAGCAUGGUGAACACCUGGCCCACGAACGCGGGCCCCCCACCACCGCUGGCCAUGUUACCCCCGCCGGUCGCGCCCGCGCCGACCAUCCGCGUGCCCGGCAGCGGCUGCGCCCCGCGGCGGGACUCGGAAGCCGAGGAGACGGGGAGGAGGAGCGGGACGGCGAGGUGGGGAGCGGCGGGCGCGGGCGAGGCGGGUGGGGAUGGGGGUGGGGAUGUGGAGGAGAGGAAGGGGAAGGCGGAGGCGAGGGAG